UCACGUUUCUCUGGUACCUUGGAACCCAAGCGGACAGCUACAGUGGGCUGUGGCAACAAACAGAAAUGACGAGAAUGCUUUGGAUGCCGCCCGUCGUGCGAGAUGUGUGAAGAGUACUUUUGUUACUGGCUCCCCUUUAAAUGAACUUUCUCACGUUGACUAAAGUGUUUCACUACACGAUCAUGAAACUACGGGCAAAGCUGGCACAGUGAGUGUCGUGUUACGGCGCCUAUUUCGACAUGAAAUCCCUUUGCUUUCUUUUAUUGGGGUUUAGUUGCGGGUAUCACUUGUAGCAGGUAUCAACGGUAUGAAGACUGAAAAGCGAAGAAUGUUGUACCUACACAGGACACCCGCACAGAGUACGAGCAAUGGGUUGCGGCCACCGUCGCCGUCGGCUCUGAUAUCGGAAGAACACGCGAUUGUGCAAGUGUAGCAGUGAUCCAAAAGUAUGGUACAGCUGAACCAGCAAUAUGGCAUCAGAAAACACCCUUCUCAAGGAGCUGCAACAAAACUCAUCCCUGGAAAGCAAACUCUCUGGUUGUAAUGACAUUGGCAGAAUGGAAGAGAAGUUUCUUUUUCCUGCGGGUGGAGGGAAAAGAAAUUUCUCUCCCUUGCCCUCUCCUCCCAUUUACUCUCCUCAGGUGUGGCAAAUUCAAUUUUUCUUCUGCUCCUGACCACCGUCGUUGCAGUCCUGCCACCUCCUUGAAGGACGUUUCCCUUCCAGCUGAUCAUGUUCCUGAUGAAGCUGCGGCUUACCACUGUGCCAACAGACCAACACAUUGGCAGAUUCCUGCCCUUGAUUAACUAAUGCCUUCUAGUGUGUGUUGGGCAAGGUUUCACAACAGCUCUAAUAUGUGUACUAGAGUGAGGUCAGCAGUGACAUCAGGCAUCAUGUGUGAAAAAUCAAAGGUUCCCACUUUAAUAGAAUGUCAAUGAACAAGUUUACAAUUGGCUGUCUCCAUCGUCGUCAGCACGAUUGCACAUUCUACGAGGGGCGUUCAAGUCAAACCGGGACUUUUCAUUUUUCGCAAAAGUAAAAUGAACUUACAGGCGAGAAAUUAGUUUUAUUUUUCAACGUAAUCUCCAGCUGCACUAAUGCACUUGUCCCAGCGUUUCACGAGGGCUUGGAUGCCAGCAGCGUAGAAAUCCUUACCGGCGCGUAGCAGCCAUGAUCGGACCGCCUUCCUGACCUCGUCGUCGCAGCUGAAGUGGCGGCUCCCAAGGAACGUCUUCAGUGGCCCGAAGAGAUGGAAAUCGCUGGGAGCGAGGUCUGGACUGUAAGGGGGACGUAGCAGCAACUCCCAGCCAAGUUCCUGUAAGGUGCGUGUCGUGAGAUGCGCGGUAUG